rnacentral:rRNA from 1 species
UAGGUAACCUGCCUCUAAGAUCGGGAUAACCUGUCGAAAGACGAGCUAAUACCAAAUGAGACCACAGCUUCUUCGGAAGCAAGGGUCAAAGGUAGCCUCUACUUGUAAGCUAUCACUUAGAGAUGGGCCUGCGUACCAUUAGCUAGUUGGUGGGGUAACGGCCCACCAAGGCAAAGAUGGUUAGCUGGUCUGAGAGGAUGAUCAGCCACACUGGAA